ensembl:lncRNA
GGAAACCAUACCUCCCACCACGGCUGCCUUGGGCCUGGCGAGCAGCAGCAAUUUCCAGCUGUCCUACUGCCCCUCGGCUGAUCUGGGCAGCAAAUGUCUGUGUCCACGUUCACCACCUCUUUGACAGAAUGACUUGGAAGAUGAUGGAGCUGCUCAGUCAAGCGGAAUGUGAAGUCUUUCCUCUUCAGCUCUGUGGAUUGCAUUUAAGAAGAAACCUUAAGUGGCUCCUUCUGGCCGAUGAUGGAUGAAGACCAGGUUCUUCUGCUCGGAUUCCAAAGCCCCGUGUAAUCUGACCCCAACCUACCGCAUCUAAGCGUGUUCCCCACACUCUCACUAGACGUCGUGGAACGUCUCUUCAAGGCACUGGCCUGGGUUCCAGGGGAAUCAAAACACGAGGAAGCUCCAGCACACCACUAGAGCAUCAAGCCCGGCUGUGGCCAUCUGAGGGCCACCAGGAUGAUGGAGAAGGGAUGACCCAAUCCCCCGGCUGGGCUUGCGUGUUUUCCUCUUGGAUGAAAGGAUGCUAAGUAUUAGAGACUUGUGCCGUGCCUGGCUCAGAGUACACACCUAUUGGCUGAUGAAUAAGGAAUAAAUGAAUGUGUGCCGUUUAAGCAAAUGGAAGAUGCAAUGGCUUCUGGCUCUCAAUAUCACACUAUUUUUAUGGAAAUGUUGCAGUAGAAGAAUGUUUCAGCUCACAGAAGCCCAUGAACGUGAGACAGCCAGGAAGAGUUAUCAGUGGCCAGCUUCCAGAUGAAAGGAGAGAAGAGGAAAAAGGAGAUUUUCAGAACCCAGUUGUGUUAAACGUGGUAACAGAGGAGCCUAACAGUGAAGGAGGCAAAAAAGAUAAGAGGUUCCUGCCCCUGGGGGCAAGGCAUUCAGUUGCCACAUCAAUGCAUGGGCACAGCAAGGGAUGAACGCAGCUCUGCAGAGGCCACAGACGACCCACUGGGGUAGUGAGCAGCCCUGAAGUGCCAAUGCUGUUACAAGUCCUGGGCCAGUUACAACUACAAUCCCCGCCCCGUCCCUGGCCCACUGUCUAGUGGGGGAGGGGGUGACCAUGAGAGAGCAAAUAGUCAUACUGCUACGGAAGCACAGAGCUGGUUCCACGCAGACAGAUCCUGGAAGAUGUUCCCAGACAGACGCCAUGUCUGCCAGGUCCUGAAGUGGGAGAGGGCUCCCAGGAACUUGCUGCCAUUGGGCAGAACUGAUGGGGAUGGUGGGGGGAGGAAGGGAAGUUUGGAAACUCUUCAGGACGUAACAUGGAGAAGACUGGACACCAAAUGGUUGUGGGAGUGAAGGUCGGACAAGGUCAAAGGCGGCCCCGAGCCUCUUGGGAAACCAGGAUGUACUGACUGAGGUAGGUGGUGGGAUAGAGGAGGAGAAAGUCUGGGGAGGCGUCCAAAUGGGAAAGUGAAUGUGGAUAAAGGCCAGCCCUCCAAGGGGGUGGGAGUCAGGGAAGCGGGGAAUUAUAUUGUCUUGGAUUUUUUUUGUCUUCCCCCACUAGGCAGUCUUUUUGUACCGAUGAAAUUGUGUUGGAUUGGAAAUAAAAGAGGACCAAAAUGCAACUUUCAGCGGGGGGCGUAGGCCGGGAAGAGCCUGGCAGGGACGGCGGUGGGGUGGGCAGGCUCUGAGGCUGUGGACCACUUGGGUGACUCUUGGACUUACUGCUUGCUCGUUUGCUUAUCUUUCACAGGAGCUGGUAGACAUUCUAACAGCAGGUCUCCGCCACCGCCCGCCCGUCAAUUGCCCCUCCAUUCACCUUGCCGUCCAGACGGUGCUGGGGAGACACAAAGCAUCUUGAGUACUUCCUCAUUACCUCAUGGCAGUGAAAAGAAGAUGGAUUUUCCACCGCCUACUUCCUUCUCCAGUGGGUAAACAUAGAGCGUCCUCAGCGUUUCUGCAAGAGCAGGAGUUUGAAAAAUGCAGUGAGCUCAAUCGUGCAAGCUCCUGAACAGACAGCUGGAAGACCCGUUUGUAUUUGGCCAAGUGAUCUUCAGAAAGGAGAGAUGUGGCCUUCCUCAAAAAGGCUAUCUUCUACAAAUCUCGACUUCCCCAAAAUUAGCCUGACCCACUGGCGGAGUUGCCUGCCUGUGUUGGGGAGAUGGCUAGACUUGAGUCAGUGUGGUCUUUUUUGUUUUUUUGCUGAGGAAGAUUUUCCCUGAGCUAACAUCCAUGCCAAUCUUCCCCUAUUUUUUUUUUUUUUUUUUUUUAGUAUGUGGGCUGCCAGCACAGGAUGGCUGCUAGCAUAUUGGUGUAGGUCCAUCCCUGGGAACCAAACCUGGGCCACCAAAGCAGAGUGUGCUGAACUUAACCACUAGGCCACCGGGGCUGGCCCAGUGCAGUCUUUACCUGUUUACUAGAUCCUGGGUGCUGGGAGGGAGACUGCGUGUAGCUUGGGAAUGUUACGGGGAGGAAGUAAUAGAAAAGCAUAACGUGGAAGUAACCAUUGCUAGAAUCCUCAUUUGCACCCACAAAUAGGCUGUAAAACUGCCUUUGAGCCCAUGGAGAUGGGUAUUAAACACAGUCAUUCUUCACUGGUAUUGCCAUCGUGUGCAUGUUUGUGUGCGCACAUGCGCGCGUCUAACGUCAUUUCUGCAGCUGGUGGGGCCCAGGCUGAGGCAGAGAGUUCACACAGCAGGAAGACUGUCUUGCCUCAGUCGCUUGGAAAAAGAGAAAAGAGGGCAGAAAGCCACAACUCAACAAAAAAGAAUCUUCUAAAAGCGAGAAAGACGUUUUAAGAGAGCUCUUUUGACGUAGAACUCAGGAAGGACAACUCGUUUGUUGAGGCCGUCGGCUCAGUGUCCUGCUACCAGAAAGCCCAGUGAAAUACUGCACAGUACUGGAAAGAUUUUGGAAACAAAAUUCAAUUCUGCAAACAUUACGAGGCAUCUUCUGUGCGCCAGAAAAUGUACUAAGUUCCUGGGGAUAAAAAGCUGAAUUGGGCAUGACCCUUUACUUCAAGGGGUUUGGAUCUGGGCAAUUUAAGUACGAAGACUGUGCAAGAGAAUAUGACACAAAUGGUUAUUUCUGGGGAGUGGGGUUACAGCUAAUAUUAUUUUUAACUUUUCAGAAAAUCAUAGGAUACUGUAGCUGAGUAGCUUGGUGGCUGUGAAGUGAGUGGCUGGUGAGGAGAGUGAAGCCGCCUCUUUUAACCUCCAUGCUCUUCUUGUCUUCCCCAGGAGGGGAGUUUGAAUUUAUCUCUGGGAGUAGAUUUGCCCGAAUUGGUUCUUUGGUUAUUCUACAGGAAGCCGAUCCUGCUUUAUAGUGAAGAUGACCCAGCUCUUCUUACUCAGUUCUCUUUGCUGACCCAACUACACCUUGUGAGGGUUCCGUCUCUUCUCAGUCUACAAUCUUGACCUCCAGUAUUUCAGCCAUGUCCGUGGCGGUCCAUUCCUUCUACAUGCCGAUCAUUUCUCGGUCCACAUCUCCAGGUCCAACCUCUGUUCUGAGCACUAGCCUCUUAGAUUCCCUGCAAACCUUUCCCAAAUAUACCCUCCAGUCUAUUCUCCACCCCUCAGCUGGACCGGUGCUGAAAACCCUUUAGAGGGUUCUCAUUGUUCUAAGGAUAAAAUCUAAAAUUCUUAACAUGCCUACAAAAGCAUGCAUGACUGGCUCUUAUUCGCUUCUCCGGGCGCAUCUCCUGUGGCUCUGGCCUUCCUCCCUUUCCUACAGUUGGCCCAGCUCUUGUGCACCCCGGAGCCUCAAAUCCACCAUUUUCUUUAUCUGGAAUCAUCCAACUCAAUCAUCCUUCAGAGCUCAGCUAAAAUGUUGCGUUCUUCAGGGGGCCCUCUCUAAUCCCUUAGAGCCAUGUCAACUCUCAUUAUAUGCUCUGUGUCUUUAGCAGAGACAUGGAGAAGAACGAUUUGUAAAACGAUCUGUUUACUAUCUAUCUCCUUCAGAUUGUAGCAAUUACAGAUUCCAGCCCUACGGCCUAACACAGUGCCAGUUGCUGAGUGACGCUCUGUAGAUGCACUAAUAAAUGAGUGAGAUUAGGAAUUAGGGGGCUGAUUUUCUCUUCCUAACAUAACAUGAAUGUUUAUUUUUGCUCUGAACAGAGCUGAGUGUCUGCAGAUUAUUUUUUGUUUAUUGGAGGAGGACUAAGGUUGACGGGGAGGAGAAACUUUUUUCUCUCUCCGCAAGGCCCUGGUAGCGUUGCAACCUGGACUCUGGUGGGGGCACACGCUGGUUCCCUCUCUGGGGCUCCUGCUAAGGAGAGAGAUGCCCAGAAACCUGUGGAUGGUUUUGCCUCUUUGGGACCAUUAUUUGGUUUUAAACGUUUUUCUUUUCCCUUCUGUAAGUCCCUUCUGUUUUCCCAAGCCUUCUGUUAAACGUUGACCCUCACGGCUUGGUCAGGGCUGUGCUGGGAGGAGCAAAGAGAGGCAAAGCUGUAGGGGACAACACAGAGACAACUUGCGGUCAAGGGAGUGGCAAUCAGGAAUGAAUGGCCAGCUGAGGGGACAAGUGCCAGCAGGGAGAGGGCUGUAGAAAUGAGAUUCUUCAUCUGGAAUGUGCAGGCGUAUUUCCGGAGGGAACUGGACACCGCCUGGACUCCAUGAAGUUCCAUAGUGUGCCGCCAUUGACUCAUUGCCUGUCAGCUCCAAAUCCAUCCUUUUUGCCUUCUCUGUAAAAAUGGAUCUGGGCCCUUUAUACCAUUUCCUCUGCCGGCUGGCAUGUUGUUAAGUCUCGUCCGUAGAGGGAGUGGGGAGACGGGGCAGGAGGCCAGAGCUCUGCCUGCUGGUUGCUUUGCUCUUGCAGCCGGCUCGGCAUUCUGGGCCGUGCCUCCAGCACUGGGAUCCUGCCAUGCAGGGCAGCCAGCAGCACCCAGUGGUCUCCAGCCAGCAUCUCCUGGCACCCUGCUCUUUGGGUGGUUUUGUGGUGAAGUGCUUCUGUGGGACACCUUUCCCCACACGCUAGACAGUAGAUUUGCAGUAAGUUCCACUGGCAUGAUACCACAGUGACAGAGGCUGCCAUAGUGAGCCAUGGCCAUGCUCUCCCAAAUGGAGUCUGGGUCUCAGCCCACGGAAGGGGGAGGCUCAUCCUUGGGUGCUCUUUCUUGGCUCUAAGGGUUAUGGCUGCUCCUUAAAUCUCCUAUUCCUAUUUUCUUUUGUAUUUUCUUUACUUCUUACUAGUCAAUCCCUCAUUGCUCCAAAGCCUGUUGUAGUUAAUAAUUUUUUUUGUGUGAGGAAGAUUUGUCCUGAGUUAACAUACAUUGCCAAUCCUCCUCUUUUUUUUUUCUUUCUUGAAGAAGAUCAGCCCUGAGCCAACAUCUGCACCAAUCUUCCUCCACUGUGUAUGUGGGAUGCCUCCACAGCAUGGCUGAUGAGUGGAGUAGGUCCACACCCAUGAUCCAAACCCAUGAACCUGGGCCGCCAAAGCAGAGCACACGGAACUUUAACCACGUGGCCGUGGGGCCAGACCCAAUCCUUCUUUAUAUUAAACUUUCACUGUUUAAGUACUGCGUGGUUUCUCUCUCCUGAUUGGACCUAGACUGAUACACACAGGAUGGGGCUCAGACUCUGAGCACUUGGCUGACAAGGGAAGGUGUCUCUAGAAGACUGAGGGAAUUGGAGACAUUUGGGCUGUAUGUAUUUUUCCGAGUUUGUGCAAUGAACAUAUGACUUACAUAUGCAGAAAAAAGAAAAAAAUUUAAAAGUUUGAAAAAACGCAAUACAAGAAGCAAAGGGGACAAAAACAUUCAAAAAGACCCACCCCAGUGCGGUAGGUGUGUGGCAGAAACAAGUUAUGUGCUAAGGGGGGAAGUGCCUUAGAGGAGGUGAUGCUUGAACUGAAUGUAAAGGGUGAGUGGCAGGGGGCACUUUCCCAGGCAGACACAUGUGUGCACUGGUGUGGACACAGGACCAGGGAGAGCCUAUGUCAUGGGAAGCGGUCAGUCACCAGCUCAGUGUGGACGGCGCCUGUGGCGGUCAAAGGUGGAGCACCAGGUCUGGGUGAUGACAGCAAAGCCUCAUGGCUUCAUUUAAAAACUAUGGGGUGGGUGGGAAAGUGGACUCCGUUUGCCUUUUGGACCGACCGCAGCUGUGAGAAUCUUCCUUGCAGAUCUUCGACCAUCUCCAGCUAUCCUGGAGCUUCACUGACCAAGGGCCCUGGCUGCUGUGCUCUGAAAUUCAUCUCUGGGUUUGUACGCAAGGCCACACUUCCCACCUGGCUGCUCCCAGCCAAUGACUGGGAGAGAUACCGAUACUAAGGCAGGUGGGUUCCAAAGAGAAUUGGGAGCCCAUGAUGAGCAACUGGAUGUAGGACUCCCCGAUGAUGUUCCCUAGACUGCAGGGAGGUUAGAAUGAUGGGGUCCCUCUCCUUUACUGGGGGCAGAGUUGCAUAAAGCCUGGCUCGCUCCCAUCCCUUCCUAUUUAAUCCCACAGUCAUUUCCCCUAAGAAAAUCCUUCCAGGCCCAGCCCUGUCUUGGCGCCUGCUUCUUGGAGGACCCACAUCAGCUCCUGGACUACGCCUUCCUUCCCUUCCCUCUCCUCUCCAGCGACAGCCUUUGUAUAGGCGAGGCCGGCGAUUGUGGGACACAGCCUUCAUUCCCGCGUCUCCUGGGCAUUCUCCCCCUUCUGUCAUCCAGGCCCUUGGCCUACUCAGGUUUCCCUAAUGAACCCUGCAGCUUCUCCAUCUGGAAAGUCCCAAUUCUCCUGGACUCCGGGUCACCAUCCGAGUGUCACCUCCAUCUCUGUCCUCUUCUCGGGACGGGAAGGAGAGACUCUCCUGCCUGCCGCAGGAGACUUCAGAUUCCGCCUGCUUCUGUCCUUGGUGGCACCCGAGGGAAGUCUCCGCUGUAAGCUCUUUGGGGAAGGGACUGGAUCCUAUUCACGCAUCGCAUGCACGAUGGCAGGCAGAGCGCCCAGCUCCUGGUAGGCGCUUCCUCAGCGCUUGUUGAGUUCUUGGUUUCCAUCAGUUGGGACGUCCCAAAGAAAGCGCAGGAGGCGGCGGUCGGAGCAGCAGGC